rnacentral:lncRNA from 1 species
AUGAACCCAACGAUAUACAAAAAAAAUGACAAAGUAGUGAUCACUAUUAAAAACUUGACAAGCACGACAGCAGUAACAACUUUGGACUAUUUUUCUUUUCCCUUUUGCUCGCCCGCUGAUAAUGCUAACACAAAAAAACUAGUACCUCCUAACAUUUUUAAAAUAUUACUAGGAGAUGAUUUAUACGAUACCAAUAUAGACACAACGUUUUUAAAUUCAGUCAAAUGUAUCAAUUAUUGUAAUAUUAACAUUACUAAUGAUGUAUAUAAUAAAUAUAAACAUUUAAUUUUAUAUAAUUAUAAUGUUGUAUAUACUGUUGACAAUUUGGAUUUGUUUAGAGAAGACUCAAAGAGAAGGGGAUUUUAUUUUACUGGUAUACCCACUGGUUAUAUAAGAAAUAAACAUUAUUACCUCUAUAAUUACUAUAAAAUUAGUAUACUAUAUAAUAAUAAUGGAGUAGAUUUAGAUAAAAAUUAUAUUGUAGGUUUUGAGGUGGAGCCUAAAAGGUAACUAUUUGUUAUUCCAGUACGACAUACCAGUAUGUGGUUUGUUUUAUUCUACUACACAACUUUCAUCAUUGUAACUAUUUAUGUCUGUUUACACUUGUUUAUAUUCGCCUAUACAUAUUUAUUUUUUUAUUUAUUUA